GUCAGUAAGUCUUCUCUCCUGUGAAAGUAAACACUCACCUCCCAGUCGUCACCUGAGCUGCGGUGCCUCUGGAGCACUUCUUCAUCCUCCUCCUCCUCUUCCUCUUUGUCCUCUAUGAGCACAAACUCCUCUUCGUCGUGGUCCGCCUCCCCCUCCUCCUCUCCUCCCUCAAGUAUACAUAAAUCUGGUCGACAGUGUGUAAGACGGCUGAGCCCGCAGUCGCACAAACAUCAGACUGCCGGGACUACCUGCUGAUGACCUCAGAGGCGCUGAAAGUAAACAAGUACAAGAGUUGGAGGAAAUGAAAUAAAAACAAGAAAGUAAACCAUCUCUCAGACUGAUCUGAAUUCACGUCCAUACCUGCGGUCUGACUCUUCACAGAGGAGUGCAGCCGCUCCGUCUUCACUUUGCUCGCCUCCUCUUGACCUCCACAGCAGAAGGUGGUAGCACUGCUCAGGACAGCCACCCCCAGGACACCCACAGAAGCCUCUGACAGCACCUCCAGCGGGCUGCUAUCAAGCUCCCCCUCGGCCUCUGCCAUGUCUCUGCUCUCUGCCCCCUCCUCCUCAGAGAACUCUUUGGUCAGACUCAGAGCCAGACUGGACAAUUCUGACGGAGCCACAGACACCAGAGCAGGGACUGACUCCUCCUGAAACAGAGAAUCAUUGCUGACCUCUGCUGGGAUGUGUUGAAGUGAAUAUUCGAGAUGUCAGAGAAGAAGGAGACAGAUGCCAGAUUGUCAACAGAGCACGACAGGAGGUAGUCCUCACAGCCAUGUUCCUUCACCAGAGGAUGGGUUUUAAACGGGUCAAAGAAGAUCUUAUUAGAAGUCACCAACAGGAUACCGGAAACCACACCCUAACAGACAGGGAAAGGAAAUGUUGAAAUAUGUCUACACGUGUAGAAAAUGUAGAUCUGACGCAAGUGCAGUUCCCACACCCACCUUACGGUCGGUGAUGUAGCGACAGAACAGUUUGAGGUACUGCAUGGCCUCUGGUCCCUCCCCCUGACAGCAUUCUGGUGGCAGAGCCAGUAAGCAAAGCUGUCCGUCAGGCAUCGGCACCGCCUCCACAUCCUGUCAGCAGCACACAUCAGUGUUAACAAAAUAAGCCUUAUGAUAAAAUAAAAGCUGGCAUGAUUAGUCCACAACAAUUAUGAUUAGUGAUUAACCAUUAAAGUCCAUUUUUAAG